rnacentral:rRNA from 1 species
CCUACGGGUGGCAGCAGUGGGGAAUAUUGGACAAUGGGGGCAACCCUGAUCCAGCCAUGCCGCGUGUGUGAAGAAGGCCCUCGGGUUGUAAAGCACUUUCAGUGAGGAAGAACGCCUGGUGGUUAAUACCCAUCAGGAAAGACAUCACUCACAGAAGAAGCACCGGCUAACUCCGUGCCAGCAGCCGCGGUAAUACGGAGGGUGCGAGCGUUAAUCGGAAUUACUGGGCGUAAAGCGCGCGUAGGUGGCUUGAUAAGCCGGUUGUGAAAGCCCCGGGCGCAACCUGGGAACGGCAUCCGGAACUGUCAAGCUAGAGUGCAGGAGAGGAAGGUAGAAUUCCCGGUGUAGCGGUGAAAUGCGUAGAGAUCGGGAGGAAUACCAGUGGCGAAGGCGGCCUUCUGGACUGACACUGACACUGAGGUGCGAAAGCGUGGGUAGCAAACAGGAUUAGAUACCCGAGUAGUC